GUCCCCAAAUCCCCAAAUCCCACCGCAACACAUCUCCCCUGCCGCUGCCUCUCCCCUGCCGCCGUCGAUCCGCCACCUGCUGCCGUCGCCCUCCACCGCAGACCGUCGUCGCCGCAGGUGUGAGGCCCCAUCUCCAUCGAUCCGCGACCUGCCGUCGUCGCUGCCGCCGCCCUACGCUGCAGCUAGCUUCCGCCGUCGCCGUUGUCCCACGGCUCUGGGGCUGCUGCUGCCGACACAAGACCGUCGUCACCGCAGGUGUGAGGCCCCAUCUCCAUCGAUCCGCGACCUGCCGCCGUCGCUGCCGCCGCCCUCCGCUGCAGGUACAUUGAGUACCAAUGUUUCGCCGGAUUGUCGAUGAACUUCCGUUUCGACAGAGGAGGGAUAUGUGGAGGACCCCUUUCGUCGUGAUGAUGCUUGUCGCCACCGCCUCUCUAGUUUACUAUGUCAUUGUUGUUUAGCUAGGUCGUCGACUGGACUUAUAUGUGUUUGUGUAAUAUGUGCUACUUCGAGUUGCGAUGUUUGAACAAUAUGGUCAACUAUCUACUAUCUAAACUUGUGUUAUUGAUGCAUGCAUGUUAUGAACAUUUGGGACUUUAUAUAUAACCGUGUAUCUGUGUAUCUAGCUGUAAUUCUAGUAAUAAUUGUGUUACUGAUUGAUGUGUGUA